rnacentral:rRNA from 1 species
AGAGUUUGAUCCUGGCUCAGGAUGAACGCUGGCGGCGUGCUUAACACAUGCAAGUCGAACGGACUUUAGAAUGAAGCUUGCGAUUUCUAAAGUUAGUGGCGGACGGGUGAGUAACGCGUGGGUAACCUGCCUUAUACCGGGGGAUAACACUUAGAAAUAGGUGCUAAUACCGCAUAAGCGCACAGUUUCGCAUGAAACAGUGUGAAAAACUCCGGUGGUAUAAGAUGGACCCGCGUCUGAUUAGCUAGUUGGUGAGGUAACGGCCCACCAAGGCGACGAUCAGUAGCCGGCCUGAGAGGGUGAACGGCCACAUUGGGACUGAGACACGGCCCAAACUCCUACGGGAGGCAGCAGUGGGGAAUAUUGGACAAUGGGGGAAACCCUGAUCCAGCGACGCCGCGUGAGUGAAGAAGUAUUUCGGUAUGUAAAGCUCUAUCAGCAGGGAAGAUAAUGACGGUACCUGACUAAGAAGCCCCGGCUAACUACGUGCCAGCAGCCGCGGUAAUACGUAGGGGGCAAGCGUUAUCCGGAUUUACUGGGUGUAAAGGGAGCGUAGACGGCAUGGCAAGUCUGAUGUGAAAACCUGGGGCUUAACCGCAGGACUGCAUUGGAAACUGUCAAGCUAGAGUGCAGGAGGGGUAAGCGGGAAUUCCCUAGUGUAGCGGUGAAAUGCGUAGAUAUUAGGAGGAACACCGGUGGCGAAGGCGGCUUACUGGACUGUAACUGACGUUGAGGCUCGAAGGCGUGGGGAGCAAACAGGAUUAGAUACCCUGGUAGUCCACGCGGUAAACG